rnacentral:rRNA from 1 species
UACGAAGGGGGCUAGCGUUGCUCGGAAUUACUGGGCGUAAAGGGUGCGUAGGCGGUUCGUUAAGUCUGUCGUGAAAUCCCCGGGCUCAACCUGGGAAUGGCGAUGGAUACUGGCGAGCUAGAGUGUGUCAGAGGAUGGUGGAAUUCCCGGUGUAGCGGUGAAAUGCGUAGAGAUCGGGAGGAACAUCAGUGGCGAAGGCGACCAUCUGGGACAACACUGACGCUGAAGCACGAAAGCGUGGGGAGCAAACAGG